rnacentral:tRNA from 1 species
GCCCGGAUGGUGAAACUGGUAGACACAAGGGACUUAAAAUCCCUCGCCUCAUGGCGUGCGGGUUCGAUCCCCGCUCCGGGCA